CAGCCGCCGCGGGAAUACGAAGGGGGCUAGCGUUGUUCGGAAUUACUGGGCGUAAAGCGCACGUAGGCGGACAUUUAAGUCAGGGGUGAAAUCCCGGGGCUCAACCCCGGAACUGCCUUUGAUACUGGGUGUCUAGAGUAUGGAAGAGGUGAGUGGAAUUCCGAGUGUAGAGGUGAAAUUCGUAGAUAUUCGGAGGAACACCAGUGGCGAAGGCGGCUCACUGGUCCAUUACUGACGCUGAGGUGCGAAAGCGUGGGGAGCAAACAGGAUUAGAUACCCCUGUAGUCCCUGUCUCUUAUAA
rnacentral:rRNA from 1 species